rnacentral:rRNA from 1 species
GACGGAGGAUGCAAGCGUUAUCCGGAAUGAUUGGGCGUAAAGCGUCCGCAGGUGGCAGUUCAAGUCUGCUGUCAAAGACCGGGGCUUAACUUCGGAAAGGCAGUGGAAACUGAACAGCUAGAGUAUGGUAGGGGCAGAGGGAAUUCCUGGUGUAGCGGUGAAAUGCGUAGAGAUCGGGAGGAACAUCAGUUGCGAAGGCGGCUCUCUGGACCAGUACUGACGCUGAGGCACGAAAGCGUGGGGAGCAAACAGG